rnacentral:rRNA from 1 species
AAAUUGAAGAGUUUGAUCAUGGCUCAGAUUGAACGCUGGCGGCAGGCCUAACACAUGCAAGUCGAGCGGAAACGACACUAACAAUCCUUCGGGUGCGUUAAUGGGCGUCGAGCGGCGGACGGGUGAGUAAUGCCUAGGAAAUUGCCUUGAUGUGGGGGAUAACCAUUGGAAACGAUGGCUAAUACCGCAUAAUGCCUACGGGCCAAAGAGGGGGACCUUCGGGCCUCUCGCGUCAAGAUAUGCCUAGGUGGGAUUAGCUAGUUGGUGAGGUAAUGGCUCACCAAGGCGACGAUCCCUAGCUGGUCUGAGAGGAUGAUCAGCCACACUGGAACUGAGACACGGUCCAGACUCCUAC